UUGACCUCGGAUCAGGUAGGAAUACCCGCUGAACUUAAGCAUAUCAAUAAGCGGAGGAAAAGAAACCAACAGGGAUUGCCCUAGUAACGGCGAGUGAAGCGGCAACAGCUCAAAUUUGAAAUCUGGCUUCGGCCCGAGUUGUAAUUUGUAGAGGAUGCUUUUGGUGAGGUGCCUUCUGAGUUCCCUGGAACGGGACGCCAGAGAGGGUGAGAGCCCCGUAUAGUCGGCCACCGAUCCUCUGUAAAGCUCCUUCGACGAGUCGAGUAGUUUGGGAAUGCUGCUCAAAAUGGGAGGUAUAUCUCUUCUAAAGCUAAAUAUUGGCCAGAGACCGAUAGCGCACAAGUAGAGUGAUCGAAAGAUGAAAAGCACUUUGAAAAGAGGGUUAAAUAGCACGUGAAAUUGUUGAAAGGGAAGCGCUUGUGACCAGACUUGUGCCGGGCUGAUCAUCCAGUGUUCUCACUGGUGCACUCGACCCGGCUCAGGCCAGCGUCGGUUCUCGCAGGGGGAUAAAAGCUUCGGGAACGUGGCACCUUCGGGUGUGUUAUAGCCCGCUGCUUAAUACCCUUGUGGGGACCGAGGUUCGCGCUCUGCAAGGACGCUGGCAUAAUGGUCAUCAGCGACCCGUCUUGAAACACGGACCACGG
rnacentral:rRNA from 1 species